rnacentral:sRNA from 1 species
AUUUAGGGCCAAUGGUUUCCUAUAUUUUUUUUUUCUUUUUGAAAAAAGAAUGGUAACCUAUAUAAUCUUAAGAUGAUGGCUUAAUCUUCUCACUGACAAAAG